UACGAAGGCCCCAAGCGUUAUCCGGAAUUACUGGGCGUAAAGAGUUCAACGGCGGCUUAUUGUGUUCUCUGUAAAAUCCUGGGGCUUAACCUCGGGUCUGCGGGGAAAACUAGUAAGCUAAGAGGACGGGAGAGGCAAACGGAAUUACCGGUGUAGUAGUAAAAUGCGUUAAUAUCGGUAGGAACACCAAUAGCGAAAGCAGUUUGCUGGAACGAUCCUGACGCUUUACGAACGAAAGCGUGGGUAGCGAUACGG
rnacentral:rRNA from 1 species